UACGUAGGGGGCAAGCGUUGUCCGGAAUCAUUGGGCGUAAAGCGCGCGUAGGCGGCCCGGUAAGUCCGCUCUGAAAGUCCAGGGCUCAACCCUGGAAAGCGGGUGGAUACUGCCGGGCUAGAAUCCGGAAGAGGCGAGUGGAAUUCCUGGUGUAGCGGUGAAAUGCGCAGAUAUCAGGAAGAACACCCGUGGCGAAGGCGGCUCUCUGGGACGGUACUGACGCUGAGACGCGAAAGCGUGGGGAGCGAACAGG
rnacentral:rRNA from 1 species